AGCAAGAGGACCAAGGCAUACGCGGCGGCCGAGGACAAGCUUCUUUGCGAGUGUUGGAGAGACAUUGGGCAAGACCCCAAGACGGGCGCCGAACAAAAGCAUACAACUUUUUGGAUUCGUGUCCACCAUGAGUUCCAUGAGCGCAAGAAGUUUCCGCCGUACCAAAUAGUAAGCGCGCGCGGGUGGGUGUCCAUUUCGAAGCGAUGGAGGGUGAUCCAACAAGAGUGCAACAAGUUUUGUGCCACUCUUGAGAGCGUCAAGGUCCGCCCCGUGGGCGGCAUUGGCAUGCAAGACAUGGUAUGCUAG
rnacentral:rRNA from 1 species